UUAACUAUUAUAUAGUACUCAGACAAUAUUAUUAACAUGAGUUUUAGGUCCUCUGGCAGGCGCUGACCAGCCGAAGCCGGUGGCCCGAGAGCGGGCCUGCCAAAGCAACAAAGAUAUGUAAACAAAGGGUGGAGUGUUACGGCGACCAAGUAAACUCGGCCGCACGUAUGACUCUUUAAUGAUCCUUCCGCAGGUUCACCUACGGAAA
rnacentral:misc_RNA from 1 species